CCUACGGGCGGCAGCAGUAGGGAAUUUUGCGCAAUGGGCGAAAGCCUGACGCAGCAACACCGCGUGAAUGUUAAGCGCUUCCGGGUGUUAAGUUCUGUCACUCGAGACGAAUUUUGACUGUACCUAUAAAGGAAGCACCGGCUAACUCCGUGCCAGCAGCCGCGGUAAUACGGGGGGUGCAAGCGUUGUCCGGAAUCACUGGGCGUAAAGGGUGCGUAGGCGGUAUGUUAAGUCUGAGGUUAAAGGCGGGGGCUAAACCGGGGUAAGCCUUUGAUACUAGGGAACUUGAGUGCAGGAGAGGUGAAGGGAAUUCCUGGUGUAGCGGUGAAAUGCGUAGAUAUCAGGAGGAACAUCAGUUGCGAAGGCGGUUUUCUGGACUGUUAUUGACGCUGAGGAACGAAAGCGAGGGGAGCAAACAGGAUUAGAUACCCGAGUAGUC
rnacentral:rRNA from 1 species